rnacentral:rRNA from 1 species
UACGUAGGGUGCAAGCGUUACUCGGAAUUACUGGGCGUAAAGCGUGCGCAGGCGGUUGUGCAAGACCGAUGUGAAAUCCCCGGGCUUAACCUGGGAAUGGCAUUGGUGACUGUACGGCUAGAGUGUGUCAGAGGGGGGUAGAAUUCCACGUGUAGCAGUGAAAUGCGUAGAGAUGUGGAGGAAUACCGAUGGCGAAGGCAGCCCCCUGGGAUAACACUGACGCUCAUGCACGAAAGCGUGGGGAGCAAACAGG